AACAAACGCUGGCGGCGUGCCUAACACAUGCAAGUCGCACGAGAAAGUCCGCUUCGGUGGGCAAGUAAAGUGGCGCACGGGUGAGUAACGCGUGGAUAAUCUACCCUUAAGUUUGGAAUAACUCAUCGAAAGGUGGGCUAAUACCGAAUGAUACUGCAUAACUACUGUUGUGCAGUCAAAGAAGGCCUCUGUUUACAAGCUUUUUGCUUAAGGAUGAGUCCGCGUACCAUUAGCUAGUUGGUAGGGUAAUGGCCUACCAAGGCUACGAUGGUUAGCUGGUCUGAGAGGAUGAUCAGCCACACUGGAACUGAGACACGGUCCAGACACCUACGGGUGGCUG
rnacentral:rRNA from 1 species